AAGCAGGGGAUCGUAAGACCUUGCGCUUUUGGAGCGGCCGAUGCCUGAUUAGCUAGUUGGUGGGGUAAUGGCCUACCAAGGCUUCGAUCAGUAGCUGGUCUGAGAGGACGGCCAGCCACACUGGGACUGAGACACGGCCCAGACUCCUACGGGAGGCAGCAGUGGGGAAUUUUGGACAAUGGGCGCAAGCCUGAUCCAGCCAUGCCGCGUGAGUGAAGAAGGCCUUCGGGUUGUAAAGCUCUUUCAGCCGGGAAGAAAAGGUUGCGAUUAAUAAUCGCAAUUCAUGACGGUACCGAAAGAAGAAGCACCGGCUAACUACGUGCCAGCAGCCGCGGUAAUACGUAGGGUGCGAGCGUUAAUCGGAAUUACUGGGCGUAAAGGGUGCGCAGGCGGUUUUGUAAGUCAGAUGUGAAAUCCCCGGGCUUAACCUGGGAACUGCGUUUGAAACUACAAGGCUAGAGU
rnacentral:rRNA from 1 species